CCUACGGGAGGCCGCAGUGGGGAAUAUUGGACAAUGGGCGAAAGCCUGAUCCAGCAAUGCCGCGUGAGUGAUGAAGGCCUUAGGGUUGUAAAGCUCUUUUACCCGGGAUGAUAAUGACAGUACCGGGAGAAUAAGCCCCGGCUAACUCCGUGCCAGCAGCCGCGGUAAUACGGAGGGGGCUAGCGUUGUUCGGAAUUACUGGGCGUAAAGCGCACGUAGGCGGCUUUGUAAGUUAGAGGUGAAAGCCUGGAGCUCAACUCCAGAAUUGCCUUUAAGACUGCAUCGCUUGAAUCCAGGAGAGGUGAGUGGAAUUCCGAGUGUAGAGGUGAAAUUCGUAGAUAUUCGGAAGAACACCAGUGGCGAAGGCGGCUCACUGGACUGGUAUUGACGCUGAGGUGCGAAAGCGUGGGGAGCAAACAGGGUUAGAUACCCUGGUAGUCCACGCCGUAAACGAUGAUAACUAGCUGUCCGGGGACUUGGUCUUUGGGUGGCGCAGCUAACGCAUUAAGUUAUCCGCCUGGGAGUACGGCCGCAAGGUUAAAACUCAAAGGAAUUGACGG
rnacentral:rRNA from 1 species